UUCGAGUUUUGUCAAUGGCUUCAAUACCCAGAGCCUAUAUAAAACGACAGUAAUUUGUUUAGCAUUGCUGAAUUGGAAGACAACUAAUUAAUCUGAAGAAGAAGAAUGGUCUUGCAAUUGGAGUCUCUACUCACUGUCUCAGUGCUGCAAAUAAUGUUGGAAGUAGCGGCAGUAGCUGCAACAACAACUCUAGCGGGGCGGGAAUGUGAAGCCAAAUGUGGAGACAUUGAAAUCCAAUACCCAUUUGGUAUUCGAGCCGAUUGUUCCAUGGACAGAUGGUUUGUGAUUGAUUGCAUUAA
rnacentral:misc_RNA from 1 species